rnacentral:lncRNA from 1 species
GAGUACGGUACAUAGGAGGUUGGUCUUUCUCAACGUGGUGUAUAGCACGAAAAACCUUUCGAUACAAGAUAGGGCCGUUCACAUGAAAGAAAAAAAUGAAUCCUUUCUUAUCUUCUUUCCCGAGAGGGAAAGAGAAAGAGGGUCUUAUGGAGGGAGGGGGGAGGGGAAAGGCUUGGGCCUACCUAUCCCGAUAGGACCCCAUAAAAGAACGGGAGCUGUUGAGAGGUUCCAUAUUGCCGAGACGAAGGACAGCACUUCUGUACGUGAUCGUAGUAUGUCACGUCGUCUCGUCCCCGCUGCAUCGAAGAGUACCUAUGCACUAUGUUCCGGUUCACUGAUAAGGAA